GACAGAGGUGCCGAGCGUUAGGCGGAAUCACUGGGCUUAAAGCGUGUGUAGGCGGACUCGUAAGUGCUUUGUGAAAUCCCACGGCUCACCCGUGGAACUGCUUGGCAUACUGCGAGCCUUGAGCCACUUAGGGGCAACCGGAACAAACGGUGGAGCGGUGAAAUGCGUAGAUAUCGUUUGGAACGCCAAUGGUGAAAACAGGUAGCUGGGGCUGUGCUGACGCUGAGACACGAAAGCCAGGGGAGCGAACGGG
rnacentral:rRNA from 1 species